GACGAACGCUGGCGGCGUGCUUAACACAUGCAAGUCGAACGGAAAGGCCCUGCUUUUGUGGGGUGCUCGAGUGGCGAACGGGUGAGUAACACGUGAGUAACCUGCCCUUGACUUUGGGAUAACUUCAGGAAACUGGGGCUAAUACCGGAUCGUAGCUCCUGCUGCAUGGUGGGGGUUGGAAAGUUUCGGCGGUUGGGGAUGGACUCGCGGCUUAUCAGCUUGUUGGUGGGGUAGUGGCUUACCAAGGCUUUGACGGGUAGCCGGCCUGAGAGGGUGACCGGCCACAUUGGGACUGAGAUACGGCCCAGACUCCUACGGGAGGCAGCAGUGGGGAAUAUUGCACAAUGGGCGGAAGCCUGAUGCAGCAACGCCGCGUGCGGGAUGACGGCCUUCGGGUUGUAAACCGCUUUCGCCUGUGACGAAGCGUGAGUGACGGUAAUGGGUAAAGAAGCACCGGCUAACUACGUG
rnacentral:rRNA from 1 species